rnacentral:sRNA from 1 species
AUCUAGCUCCGAUAGAAGUGAAAAUCCUAGUUUGCCGGGGUUCGGCAAACAAGAUUGUAACGGAUAGCGGGACUAAAC